rnacentral:rRNA from 1 species
CCUACGGGCGGCAGCAGUGGGGGAUAUUGGACAAUGGGGGAAACCCUGAUCCAGCGAUGCCGCGUGAGGGAAGAAGGUUUUCGGAUUGUAAACCUCUGUGGAGGGGGACGAUAAUGACGGUACCCCUUUAGGAAGCCACGGCUAACUACGUGCCAGCAGCCGCGGUAAUACGUAGGGGGCGAGCGUUGUCCGGAAUUACUGGGUGGAAAGGGAGGGGAGGCGGGAAAGCAAGUCAGAAGUGAAAACUAUGGGCUUAACCCAUAGCCUGCUUUUGAAACUGUUGUGCUUGCGUGAAGUAGAGGCCGGCGCACUUCCUAGUGUAGCGGUGAAAUGCGUAGAUAUUAGGAGGACCACCAGUGGCGACGGCGGCUUGCUGGACUGUACCUGACGUUGAGGCUCGCGAGCGUGGGGAGCAAACAGGAUUAGAUACCCUGGUAGUC